rnacentral:rRNA from 1 species
UAGGGAAUCUUCCGCAAUGGGCGAAAGCCUGACGGAGCAACGCCGCGUGAGUGAUGAAGGUCUUCGGAUCGUAAAACUCUGUUAUUAGGGAAGAACAAAUGUGUAAGUAACUAUGCACGUCUUGACGGUACCUAAUCAGAAAGCCACGGCUAACUACGUGCCAGCAGCCGCGGUAAUACGUAGGUGGCAAGCGUUAUCCGGAAUUAUUGGGCGUAAAGCGCGCGUAGGCGGUUUUUUAAGUCUGAUGUGAAAGCCCACGGCUAAACCGUAGAGGGUCAUUGGAAACUGGAAAACUUGAGUGCAGAAGAGGAAAGUGGAAUUCCAUGUGUAGCGGUGAAAUGCGCAGAGAUAUGGAGGAACACCAGUGGCGAAGGCGACUUUCUGGUCUGUAACUGACGCUGAUGUGCGAAAGCGUGGGGAUCAAACAGG